rnacentral:rRNA from 1 species
AUUGAACGCUGGCGGCAUGCCUAACACAUGCAAGUCGAACGAGUGGCGGACGGGUGAUUUAUGUCUGGUAAACUGCCUGAUGGAGGGGGAUAACUACUGGAAACUGUAGCUACUACCGCAUACCAUCAGAUCUGCCCAGAUGGGAUUAGCUAGUUGGUGGGGUAACGGCUCACCAAGGCGACGAUCCCUAGCUGGUCUGAGAGGAUGACACGCAACACGGGAACUGAGAAAAGGUCCAGACUCCUACGGGAGGCAGCAGUGGGGAAUAUUGCACAAUGGGCGCAAGGCUGAUGCAGCCAUGCCGGGUGUAUGAAGAAGGCCUUCGGGGUGUAAAGUACGUUAAGCGGGGAGGCGUUACCCGCAGAAGAAGCACCGGCUAACUCCGUGCCAGCCGCCGCGGUAAUUC